rnacentral:rRNA from 1 species
GACGUAGGAGGCAAGCGUUAUCCGGAGUUACUGGGCGUAAAGCGCGUGUAGGCGGCUUGGUAAGUGGUUCGUGAAAUAUCCGGGCUAAACUCGGAGGGGACGAAUCAGACUGCUAGUCUGGAGGCGGGUAGAGGGGUGCGGAAUUCCGGGUGUAGCGGUGAAAUGUGUAGAUAUCCGGAGGAACACCAGAGGUGCAGACGGCGCCCUGGGCCCGACCUGACGCUGAGACGCGAAAGCUUGGGGAGCGAACGGG